UACGUAGGGUGCGAGCGUUUAAUCGGAAUUACUGGGCGUAAAGCGUGCGCAGGCGGUUUUGUAAGCCAGAUGUGAAAUCCCCGGGCUUAACCUGGGAAUGGCAUUUGGGACUGCAAGGCUUGAGUGCGGCAGAGGAGACUGGAAUUCCUGGUGUAGCAGUGAAAUGCGUAGAUAUCAGGAGGAACACCGAUGGCGAAGGCAGGUCUCUGGGCUGACACUGACGCUCAUGCACGAAAGCGUGGGGAGCGA
rnacentral:rRNA from 1 species